rfam:Erwinia billingiae strain Eb661 complete plasmid pEB170.
GGAUCACCGCUUCAUCACGCCGGGUAUCGGGCUGGUAACAAUACACCGUCCUGCUCAGCGAUAACGUCCUGCAUGCCUGGCGUAUGCUCAUCGUAAACUGCGCGGUCAGAUAGUUGACGAGCUCACGCUUUAUCGCUGGUUUU